UCUAUUCCCGUGCCGCUCUUAGUUUCCAUAUUCGUUUUGCUCUUGGAUUAUUUCCUGACGCUUGUGUGGGUCACAGUUUUUCCCUGCAACUUUUAUUCGACGUGUGCCGAGGAUUAGGACAAGAAUCUGUCUCUGCAGCGGCACUCGGUUCUGUGUCGGGGUCACGCAGCCUACCAGGCUCCAGGCGCUUCCUUAACACCGACCCCGCCCUGCAGAUUGAGCCCCGCGAUGUGAUCACUUACGACUCAGAUUCGGAGGCCACAGGGGGAG
rnacentral:lncRNA from 1 species